GCCAUCUAGCCCAAAGCAAAUCCCUAAAACCUAAACUAGUCCGACUUUCCCUCUCUCACGCCGCCACUCCCUUUCCCCACUUCUCCAUUCCAUUCUUUAACCACGGCUAAACUAAGAAGACCGAGAACGACAAAGAAGAGCGAGAGAGAAAUCGUUUUUCUAUUCUCAGACAGUAAAGGUAAGCUCAUAUCCCUAUAUUUUAGGGUUCGCGAAAUUUUUAUACCUAUUCACUUGGAUUUUUGGGUACAAUUUUGUAGACUAUUCCAGCAAUUUGAUAGAUAUUGUAUCUUAUUUGUUUGAUAAGUAGUGAUUGGAAAUUUAAAGAUUUUGAAGUUAUAAUGUUGGAAUGAAGAUCAUUUAUGUUGUUUAAAAUGUGUUCAAAUUUUUCUUUUUUAUUUCUUUUGUUGCUUUGUAUUUUUUUUCUUUUGUUAUGUGAUAGAAUUCUUGUGAAAUAUUUAUCAAAACAUGUUUUUGUCUGCUUGAAAUUUUAUCAAUUUUUCUACUAAUCGAACUUACAUCUUUGUGUUAAAGUUUUAACUCAAUUGUACCUGUUAAACAUGUUUUUGCUUGGUGUUAAAAUAUGUUUUCAUUGACAGGUAAGUUGGUGGAAUUAGAAUAAUGACAACUUAAGACCAACAUAAGGUGUCGUUAAAGACCCAUAGAUGAGUAGAAGAAGAGGACGGUGUCUCAAGCAAGCUUGAUGGUUUUGUAGAUGAAAUUGUGUAUCGAGAAUCCUUUGAAAUUUAUAAUCUUGUGACUUUAUUAACAGCCUUAUGUGUAACUUUAAAUUGUUUUGGAAUCUAAAAUAUUUGAGAUUUUAGCUAUUAUUAAAAUUAUUAUGACUAAUUAUUCUUGUAGCAGAUUCUUUAAUUUGUGGAAACAAAAGUUUGAAAAUAUUUAGCUAUAUGACAUUCUCACUUUUCGUAGCAAAUGAAGAAAUAUUUACCUAUAAUUUUAAAAUGGAUUCGUAGCUAUCUAAAUAUUUAUGGCAAAAACUUCAAUUUAUAGGUAUGAAUUUUUGAACUUGUAGCUAAAAGAAUGUACUAGUGCCAUGAAAUUAAAA
rnacentral:lncRNA from 1 species